rnacentral:rRNA from 1 species
UACGUAGGGUGCAAGCGUUGUCCGGAAUUAUUGGGCGUAAAGAGCUCGUAGGCGGUCUGUUGCGUCGGCUGUGAAAACCCGGGGCUCAACUCCGGGCCUGCAGCCGAUACGGGCAGACUAGAGUUCGGCAGGGGAGACUGGAAUUCCUGGUGUAGCGGUGAAAUGCGCAGAUAUCAGGAGGAACACCGGUGGCGAAGGCGGCACCCUGGACCGGCAUUGACGCUGAGGCGCGAAAGCCAGGGGAGCAAACGGG